AUGAACGCUAGCUACAGGGCUUAACACAGUGCAAGUCGAGGGGAAACGACAUCGAAGCUUGCUUUUGGUGGGCGUCGACCGGCGCACGGGUGAGUAACGCGUAUCCAACCUGCCCACCACUUGGGGGAUAACCUUGCGAAAUAAGACUAAUACCCAAUGACGUCUCUAGAAGACAUCUGAAAGAGAUUUAAAGAUUUAUCGGUGAUGGAUGGGGAUGCGUCUGAUUAGCUUGUUGGCGGGGUAACGGCCCACCAAGGCGACGAUCAGUAGGGGUUCUGAGAGGAAGGUCCCCCCACAUUGGAACUGAGACACGGUCCAAACUCCUACGGGAGGCAGCAGUGAGGAAUAUUGGUCAAUGGGCGAGAGCCUGAACCAGCCAAGUAGCGUGCAGGAUGACGGCCCUAUGGGUUGUAAACUGCUUUUAUGCGGGGAUAAAGUGUACCAUGUAUGGUGUUUUGCAGGUACCGCAUGAAUAAGGACCGGCUAAUUCCGUG
rnacentral:rRNA from 1 species